rnacentral:rRNA from 1 species
GAUGAACGCUGGCGGCGUGCCUAAUACAUGCAAGUCGAGCGAAGCGGGGACGGGGGAGUAACACGUGGAUAACCUCCUAUAAGACUGGGGUAACUUCGGGAAACCGGAGCUAAACCCGCAACUUAUAGCUGGAUGCGUGCUGCAUUAGCUAGUUGGUAAGGUAACGGCUUACCAAGGCCACGAUGCAUAGCCGACCUGAGAGGGUGAUCAGCCACACUGGAACUGAGACACGGUCCAGACUCCUACGGGAGGCAGCAGUAGGGAAUCUUGCGCAAUGGGCGAAAGCCUGACGGAGCAACGCCGCGUGUGUGAUGAAGGCCUUCGGAUCGUAAAGCUCUGUUAGUAGGGAGGCGGUACCUGAACAGAAAGCCACGGCUAACUACGUGCCAGCAGCCGCGGUAAUAC